CUGGUCUGUAUCAAAAGACAGAAUCUUGAUGACUAAGACAUUUUCUUUGGGUUUGAAGUCUCCAGAGCAGCAAAGAGAGUGGGGAGUAGAACUCAUCAUCUUUAGGUCACUCAACAUCGA
rnacentral:lncRNA from 1 species